GGUGUUGCAUGGCUGUCGUCAGCUCGUGUCGUGAGAUGUUGGGUUAAGUCCCGCAACGAGCGCAACCCUCAUCCUUAGUUACCAUCAGGUAAUGCUGGGGACUUUAAGGAAACUGCCAGUGAUAAACUGGAGGAAGGUGGGGAUGAUGUCAAGUCAUCAUGGCCCUUAUGGAGUGGGCUACACACGUGCUACAAUGGUGGCUACAAUGGGCUGCAAAGUCGCGAGGCUAAGCYAAUCCCUUAAAAGCCAUCUCAGUUCGGAUUGUACUCUGCAACUCGAGUGCAUGAAGUUGGAAUCGCUAGUAAUCGUGGAUCAGCACGCCACGGUGAAUACGUUCUCGGGUCUUGUACACACUG
rnacentral:rRNA from 1 species